rnacentral:tRNA from 1 species
ACACUAGCUCAGUUGGUAGAGCGCAACCUUGCCAAGGUUGAGGUCACGAGUUCGAACCUCGUGUGU